AGCAUUUGUGUUUGUUUUUGUAACUGUAGACAAAAACUACAUACAGGUGCUAAAAAUAAAGCCUCUUUUGCAACCCAGAACUCAUUUUUCAUACUUUGAUACAUAUAAAAAGGAACAUG